AAAUUGAAGAGUUUGAUCAUGGCUCAGAUUGAACGCUGGCGGCAGGCCUAACACAUGCAAGUCGAACGGUAACAGGAAGAAGCCUGCUUCUUUGCUGACGAGUGGCGGACGGGUGAGUAAUGUCUGGGAAACUGCCUGAUGGAGGGGGAUAACUACUGGAAACGGUAGCUAAUACCGCAUAACGUCGCAAGACCAAAGAGGGGGACCUUCGGGCCU
rnacentral:rRNA from 1 species